UCCUUCUUAUCGAAGGCAGUUUCUCAAGAGUGCAUCCCUUGCGGGAUUAGCAACAUGAGAUAGGGGUUGCGCUCGUUGCGGGACUUAACCCAACAUCUCACGACACGAGCUGACGACAACCAUGCAGCACCUCUGCUCGCUCCCUUGCGGGUCAGCCAAUGUUUCCACCGGCUUACCACGAGUAGUUCAAGCCCAGGUAAGGUGGGGAUGACGUGUAACCGAAUCU
rnacentral:misc_RNA from 1 species